GGGGAAUAUUGGACAAUGGGGGCAACCCUGAUCCAGCAAUGCCGCGUGUGUGAAGAAGGCCUGCGGGUUGUAAAGCACUUUUGUCCGGGAAGAAAGGACCUGACCUAAUACGUUGGGGGGAUGACGGUACCGGAAGAAUAAGCACCGGCUAACUUCGUGCCAGCAGCCGCGGUAAUACGAAGGGUGCAAGCGUUAAUCGGAAUUACUGGGCGUAAAGGGUGCGUAGACGGCCUUUUAAGUCGACUGUGAAAGUCCUGGGCUCAACCUGGGGACUGCAGUUGAUACUGAAGGGCUUUGAGUUUGGGAGAGGGUGGUGGAAUUCCCGGUGUAGCGGUGAAAUGCGUAGAGAUCGGGAGGAACAUCCGUGGCGAAGGCGGCCACCUGGCCUGAAACUGACGUUGAGGCACGAAAGCGUGGGGAGCAAAC
rnacentral:rRNA from 1 species